rnacentral:tRNA from 1 species
AGUCGUAUAGUCUAUUUUAGGAUGUUAGCUUUGGGGGCUUAAGGACUCUUGAGGAGUGGGCUGA